GCUGACGAAUCAUAAGGAGCCACGAGGAUCUAUCUUUCGGUACGGACUAGAGCCGGGGUGCUUCUGAUCAAAAAGAACUUAAUUCUCAGCGCCAGGGGCCAAGAUGUCCCUCAGAUGUCAUGUGGUGUUCAGGGUUUGCGUUGGUGUUUCUAGGGGUGUGACUCCUCCCUGUGUCUCUCCUGGAUUUAGUCCCCUCGGCCCUCCAAAAUCGAUCUCUUUGACCUCUCACCCCCACCAAUGGUACAGGCCAAAGUAGGAGGCGGGCGGGGCCGGAGCUCUCUGGGCUGGAGGGGACGUUGGGAAUAUACCAUAUUUGACCCGAGAAACGGGGGGGGAGCCCGCGCCCACAGAGCCGGAGCUUUCUUCCACAACAAACUUCUGAUUUCCCAAAUACCGCGUGGCAACACGCUCCCGUUAAGGUCCUAAAGAAUUCGCCGGUGGCCUGCGUAGAGGUGAUCUGCGUGGAGACGGCUGGGGUCCGUAGACGCGGUUGGUACGUCCCGGGCCGCCGCUCUUCUCCCCCACCCCCACCCCGAAAGUGGAGGGUGUUCAGUUUGCGCUUCCGCCUGGGAAGGGGCGGGGAGGCUGGUUACCAGGCGGCGGCGUCUGCAGGUGCGUCUGCAGCUUCUCUGGCGCCCGGGGCGGCCCGGGGCUGAGGGCGGCCUGGGCCUGGGCUUUCCGCGGACCGUCACCGAGGUCGCCCUUGGUAUCUCGGAGCAGCCCGCUUCCUUCACUAGGGCUCUGCUCUUUGCCUGAAGUCACCUGCAGCUUUGAUCCCUUGGAGUUUGUGAUGACCUGUGGGAGAUGGCGCUUUAAGAAAAGUGGGGACGUCUGUAGCAGUGGGCGAUGCCUCCUCAAGGGCUCCGUAUUUCCUACUUGACGUGGAAGCCGAAACAAGACUGGAGCCUGAAGCCUGCGGACCAUUUCCUUGCCUUUUGUUUUUGCCUUUUUCGUUUAGGCAGUUAGGGUUAAGUGACUUGCCCAGAGUCACACAGCUAGUAAGUGUCAAGUGUCUGAGGCCACAUUUGAACUCAGAUCCUCCCGACUCCAGGGCCGGUGCUCUAUCCACUGCACCACCCAGUUGCGCCCACCCCCCCCAUUUCCUUGCCUUGCCCAUUGGGGUGGCCCAGCCCUACUGGCAUCGCUCUCAUUGUGAGUCUCUGGAUCUUCU
rnacentral:lncRNA from 1 species